rnacentral:rRNA from 1 species
GUUGUCCGGAUUUAUUGGGCGUAAAGAGCGUGUAGGCGGCCAGGUAGGUCUGCUGUGAAAACUCGAGGCUUAACCUCGAGCUGUCGGCGGAAACCAUCUGGCUAGAGUCCGGAAGAGGAGAAUGGAAUUCCCGGUGUAGCGGUGAAAUGCGCAGAUAUCGGGAAGAACACCCGUGGCGAAGGCGGUUCUCUGGGACGGUACUGACGCUGAGACGCGAAAGCGUGGGGAGCGAACAGG